AGAAAGACUGUGAAGAGAAGAGUAGCUAGGGGGAACCGGAUUCAGCGAGCAGGCGGUGGUGAGAGGUUUGCAACGGAUCUUUAGCGAAGAACAUCUUGGAGUUUCUAACCGAAAUUUCUGCGGAAAGAGUAGGCUUAGACGGCUGCACCGUUAUAUGCAAUUCACGAGAGAUCCCUCUAGCAGAGGGGUAACUAGGGUGGUAUCGCGGAAAAAAGCCUUUCGUCCCUUCA
rnacentral:ncRNA from 1 species